UCUUGCCUCUCUGGCACGCUGCCUUUCAGCCUCCAUCCUCUUUGAACAGCUGAAAAGUCUGAGAUACAUUAUUGGAGCUAAUCAGAGUCGAAUGAGGGAAGCGCUGAGGUGAGACAGCAGAAAUUACCUCCCUCCUCAGCCUGCCUGUUCCCGGUGCCCCCUCUCAGCCUCUGUCCACGCGUUCUCUGAUGGAGGUGGAGAGAUGAAGGAGGAGGGCGGCGGCGGCGGCGAGCUGAGCCGAAGGCACGGCCGCGGCGCCGACGAGUCACAGCGCGGUGAUUGAAUGAUUCUCUAAUACAAUGAGGUGGAUUGAACAAACUGCUGCACGCUUGAUGGACCCUCUGGGAAUAAUCAACACAGAGAGGGGCUCGCGCUGCACGUUGAACCUGGAUAAAAGGCCGCGUUUGAGGCCUGAGCCGGGGCUGCGUCGACUCUGCUGCUCCGCCGCUGUGGGAGGAAGGUUGACGGGGCUUCAUGGACGCAUGAAAAAUGAAACCAGGUAUUGACUUUUAAUCACACAUCAGCCGCGGUGAUUUGUUUAAACAAACCCUGCGCGUCAGGCGGAGGAGCAGACACGCCCGAGCGCCGACGCCGCUGAGCCGGCGCUCCUCCGUCAUCUGUCACCCCAGAGGUCGAUCACCGGGUUCCGCCGAGCGCUGACAGGCCCUCUGUCAGGCUCGCUGUCCCUGCCGGCAGGCCACUUCUCCCGCUGUCCCCU
rnacentral:lncRNA from 1 species